AACCAGCACCUCAAGUGGUCAGGAUGAUUAUUGGGCCUAAAGCAUCCGUAGCCGGCUCUGUAAGUUUUCGGUUAAAUCUGUACGCUUAACGUACAGGCUGCCGGGAAUACUGCAGAGCUAGGUAGUGGGAGAGGUAGACGGUACUCGGUAGGAAGGGGUAAAAUCCUUUGAUCUAUUGAUGACCACCUGUGGCGAAGGCGGUCUACCAGAACACGUACGACGGUGAGGGAUGAAAGCUGGGGGAGCAAACCGGAUUAGAUACCCGGGUAGUCCCAGCUGUAAACUAUGCAAACUCAGUGAUGCAUUGGCUUGUGGCCAAUGCAGUGCUGCAGGGAAGCCGUUAAGUUUGCCGCCUGGGAAGUACGUAUGCAAGUAUGAAACUUAAAGGAAUUGGCGGGGGAGCACCACAAGGGGUGAAGCCUGCGGUUCAAUUGGAGUCAACGCCAGAAAUCUUACCCGGAGAGACAGCAGAAUGAAGGUCAAGCUGAAGACUUUACCAGACAAGCUGAGAGGUGGUGCAUGGCCGUCGCCAGCUCGUGCCGUGAGAUGUCCUGUUAAGUCAGGUAACGAGCGAGAUCCCUGCCUCUAGUUGCCACCAUUACUCUCAGGAGUAGUGGGGCGAAUUAGCGGGACCGCCGCAGUUAAUGCGGAGGAAGGAAGGGGCCACGGCAGGUCAGUAUGCCCCGAAACUCUGGGGCCACACGCGGGCUGCAAUGGUAACGACAAUGGGUUUCGAAUUCGAAAGGAUGAGGUAAUCCUCAAACGUUACCACAGUUAUGACUGAGGGCUGCAACUCGCCCUCACGAAUAUGGAAUCCCUAGUAACUGCGUGUCACUAUCGCGCGGUGAAUACGUCCCUGCUCCU
rnacentral:rRNA from 1 species